UACGUAGGGGGCAAGCGUUGUCCGGAAUCAUUGGGCGUAAAGAGCGUGUAGGCGGCCUGGUAAGUCCGCUGUGAAAGUCCAGGGCUCAACCCUGGAAUGCCGGUGGAAACUGUCAGGCUCGAGUCCGGAAGAGGCGAGUGGAAUUCCUGGUGUAGCGGUGAAAUGCGCAGAUAUCCGGAGGAACACCAAUGGCGAAGGCAGCUCGCUGGGACGGUACUGACGCUGAGACGCGAAAGCGUGGGGAGCAAACAGG
rnacentral:rRNA from 1 species